GGUGCCAUGGCUUAGGUGGUUAAAGUGUCUGCCUAGUGAACAGGAGGUCCUGUGUUCAAAUCCCACUGCUGCCU
rnacentral:tRNA from 1 species